AUUGAACGCUGGCGGCAUGCCUUACACAUGCAAGUCGAACGGUAACAGGUCUUCGGAUGCUGACGAGUGGCGAACGGGUGAGUAAUGCAUCGGAACGUGCCCAGUCGUGGGGGAUAACUGCUCGAAAGAGCAGCUAAUACCGCAUACGACCUGAGGGUGAAAGCGGGGGACCGUAAGGCCUCGCGCGAUUGGAGCGGCCGAUGUCCGAUUAGGUAGUUGGUGAAGUAAAGGCUCACCAAGCCGACGAUCUGUAGCUGGUCUGAGAGGACGACCAGCCACACUGGGACUGAGACACGGCCCAGACUCCUACGGGAGGCAGCAGUGGGGAAUUUUGGACAAUGGACGCAAGUCUGAUCCAGCCAUGCCGCGUGCGGGAAGAAGGCCUUCGGGUUGUAAACCGCUUUUGUCAGGGAAGAAAAGGCUCCGGAUAAUACCUGGGGCUCAUGACGGUACCUGAAGAAUAAGCACCGGCUAACUACGUGCCAGCAGCCGCAGUAACAC
rnacentral:rRNA from 1 species